CUGGUAGAAAGGGUAUAUUUUUAUACGGAACGUCCGGCAAAAGAAAUACCAGUAAUCCAUCAAUCUUUUUUUUUUUUAUAAUUAAAAAACGUAGGCUAUAACAGCAUUAUUUCUCAUUACCACGUCAGAGGAGAAGAAAUGGCUUUGGAAACGGGUGAUAUAGCCUACUUGGAAACGGGUGAUAUAGUCUACUUGGAAACGGGUGAUAUAGUCUACUUGGAAACGGGUGAUAUAGCCUACUUGGAAACGGGUGAUAUAGCCUACUUGGAAACGGGUGAUAUAGUCUACUUGGAAACGGGUGAUAUAGCCUACUUGGAAACGGGUGAUAUAGCCUACUUGGAAACGGGUGAUAUAGUCUACUUGGAAACGGGUGAUAUAGCCUACUUGGAAACGGGUGAUAUAGCCUACUUGGAAAUGGGUGAUAUAGUUUACUUGGAAACGGGUGAUAUAGCCUACUUGGAAACGGGUGAUAUAGUCGACUUGGAAACAGGUGAUAUAGCCUACUUGGAAACGGGUGAUAUAGCCUACUUGGAAACGGGUGAUAUAGGCUACUUGGAAACGGGUGAUAUAGUCGACUUGGAAACAGGUGAUAUAGCCUACUUGAAAAUGGGAGAUAUAGUCUACUUGAAAGCAUGUGUAAUAGCCUACAUUCCAAAAUGCAUUGUGUUUCCAAUGGAGAAAACAGACAUUUUGCCAUGGCAGAGAUGAGUGACCGAGACGCACGCGGACAGCAGCGGACGAGGACAUUCUGGCCUAAUGACAAAUGUCAUUACACUUUGGGGUGUUUUGUGUUACAUUUCUUUCCAUUCACUCUUGUUCGGAGGCUGGAAAUACGUCUCAAGUGGAUGAACGUGUGCGGGUAGCCUCGUAAAGGGUCCUUUUGAAGUCAUUAUUUGACAAUUGGGUGAAAACAUCAUGACUGGUUAUGUUUAUGCCACAAUAAAAGUUAAAUGACAAAUCUUUA